rnacentral:piRNA from 1 species
UGUAUAUGCACGCAUUUAGCCGUCCAGCGG